rnacentral:rRNA from 1 species
AACUGAAGAGUUUGAUCAUGGCUCAGAUUGAACGCUGGCGGCAGGCUUAACACAUGCAAGUCGAGCGGGGGAAGGUAGCUUGCUACUGGACCUAGCGGCGGACGGGUGAGUAAUGCUUAGGAAUCUGCCUAUUAGUGGGGGACAACAUCUCGAAAGGGAUGCUAAUACCGCAUACGUCCUACGGGAGAAAGCAGGGGAUCUUCGGACCUUGCGCUAAUAGAUGAGCCUAAGUCGGAUUAG